GUUCAUUUUUACCGGACAGUGGAGGUGGAUGAAAAGUUGUUAGACAAGAGAAGAGGAAACAGCUAUAUUGGAAGUAGAGCAGGAGAAACUUAAGUUAGAGAUGAGAAACAUGGCAUCACUGACAGGAUAAAGCUGGGAUAUUUCUGAGCCUUGCCAUCAUUUUUGAACUGGUCUUAAAUUAUUGCUCACAGGAGAAAGGAAGAGCAACUGUAGCACCUCUGUUCACUGUUGCUGGCAGACAACAAACUUGAGAUGAAGCCACAUUUGCAGGGGAAAAAUUGCCUACGCCCACAGAAUGAAAUUUCAGGCUUUGACAGUUGCUAGCUUUCUGAACGAACAGAAUUUGGCUAGCUGGUUUUCUACCCUUGAAAGCAUAAAGAAGGUUGGACUGUCUGAAAAUACUCUUUUCUGGGAGUAUGUUCGUAGACAACUGAAAUAAACUGCAACUCACUGGUGCCAAAUAUAUCACACAUCAGCCCACCUCCUGCCACGGUGAGCUUGUAGCAGAGAAAAGAAUGUUCUCAGGUUCAGAAAGGGGCUUCCCUGCUGAGGAGCCAUGCUCUUUCCACGAUGAAGAACUAGAGACCGUCUUGUGCAGUGGGCUGGCAGAGAGGAGCCACACAGUGAAGUGUAAAUUGCUCAGGAUCACAAUUCAGAGGACAUGGGUUCUCACCUUGGCUCUAUGACUCAUUUUGUGCCUUUCACCCCUACAAUCUCUCCGAACCUCAGUCUCUGAAUGAAUGAAAUGAGACUGACCAAACCAAUCUGGCUAAAUAUAAAGGUAUAACAUCCUGAUCAAACACAGGAAUUUGUACUUGCAUAGUAGAUGCAUCAAUAGCAUACCUUUGGGACAUUAUUGCUCUUAGGUGCUAUUGUUAACAACGGGCCUCCUAAUCUAGAUGUUCUCACUCUAGUUCUUCCAUGAGGAUUUCUGGGAAGUUUGCCUAUGAGGGAAAGUUAUGACCCACGAUCUACUGUUGCUUUGGGAAGUCUUCAGCAGCUGGUGCCAGCUGUGUUAUCCUGAUACUUUUUUUUGUUUAUUUGUUUGAGAUGGAGUCUUGGUCUGUCACCCAGGCUGGAGUGCCGUGGCAUGAUCUCAGCUCACUGCAACCUCUGCCUCCAGGGUUCAAACAAUUCUCCUGCCUCAGCCUCCCGAGUAGCUGGGAUUACAGGUGCACACCGCCACACCCGGCUAAUUCUUUUGUAUUUUUAGUAGAGAUGGGGCUUCACCAUGUUGGCCAGGCUGGUCUUGAACUCCUGACCUCAGGUGAUCCGCCUGCCUUGGCCUCCCAAAGUGCUGGGAUUACAGGCAGGAGCCACCGCACCCAGCCUCCUGAAACAUUUCAUAAGAGAGGUAUACGUAAUCCUCUGCCAUAUUUAGCAGAGAGUUUCACAGGUUCUGUGAAUUACCUGGUGCUCUUCAGGACAUAGGCAAUGCCACAAAUAUCACACCCAUGGAUGAGGCUACCCAGUCCAUGUCCCUGCAGGGGAAAUUCUCCCACCAUCCCAGAGCCUCCAAAGGAGCACACAGUGAUUUGCCCUAAAGAGUAUCAACUUUGAAAGUUUGUAAACAUGCCUCAAAGGAGACAAUUUGAAAAUUCUAAACACAGGUCAUUGAACAUUUAUUGCUAGUUGUCCUGAUUAUUUUGAGAGGUGAAAAGCACUCAUGUUUAAAUCUACAUUUGGAUCAUCUAGUCUUGCCUACCUAUUCCAUGAGAAUAAAG
rnacentral:lncRNA from 10 species